rnacentral:rRNA from 1 species
GACCAAGAGAUUUAGUUAUAUUAGUAGGUAAAAAGAUAGUUAAGUAUGUUAAAAGUUUAAUGAUCCUUUAUAAAAAAGUAAAAUUUGGAUAUAAAGGACUAAUUUUAUUUAAGCUGAUUAUAUUGAAGCUAUGAUAAUUUUGAGGGAAACUGGGAUUAGAUACCCCAUUAUUCAUAAAUUGUAAAUUAAUGAGAAUUUACCAGAGUAGUAUGAAUAUAUAAAAAUUUAAAACUCAAAGGGCUUGGCGGUGUUUUAGACCAAUUAGGGGAACCUGUCUCAUAAUCGACAAUCCACGUUAUACCUAACCUUUUUUGGUAAACAGUUUGUAUACCGUCGUCGUCAGGUAACUUUUAAAAAUGUAGAAGUUAGCAUCGAUAAUAAUUUGAUUAAGACGUCAGAUCAAGGUGCAGCUUAUAAGAAGGAGAGGAUGGGUUACAAUUAUAAAAUAAUAAUUACGGAUGAUUUAAUGGAAAAAGUUUUAAGGAGGACUUAAAAGUAAUGUUGUAAUAUACAAACAAUUUGAAUUAGGCUCUGAAACGUGC